UGGCUCAGCUGGUAGAACAUGGAGCUUGCAACACCACGGUUGUGGGUUCGAUUCCCAC
rnacentral:tRNA from 1 species